rnacentral:lncRNA from 1 species
UGUGCAUGCGCGCAAGUUUGUCCACGCCUGCCCGUGCAGGUUACCCAUUGCUGGUCUUUGGUCCAGCAGCCCUUGGGGGCCUGCAUCAGGCCUUUUGUCACACGCGUGUGUCCCAGCUCCUUCCUAGAGUCACCUGCUCUUCUACAGUCAGGGGACAAAGUGGACACAAGAGAACCCAGCCUUUGCUACCCUUUGGACAGCACUAUCCCUCAGCUUCCUGCUCUUCUCUUGCUGACUGGCCUGGGCUCUAGAGGUCAGUCCCACAUUGACCUGCUGUUUUGUCUCCUAGAAACUGUCCCUUUCCUCUUGCAGUGAUUCAGUGUGGGGGAGGGAUCAGGCAGUCUUUUCUCUCUGACCCUAAGACCCCUAACCCCCUGGACCUAAAUUCCCUCAUCACCCAGCUGCCAAUAGCCA